rnacentral:rRNA from 1 species
CCUANGGGAGGCUGCAGUGAGGAAUUUUGGACAAUGGGGGAAACCCUGAUCCAGCGACGCCGCGUGGAGGACGAAGGUCUUCGGAUUGUAAACUCCUUUUGUCCGGGAAUAAAAAAUCUAUAGAAAUAUGGAGACUGAAUGUACCGGAUGAAUACGCCACGGCUAACUUCGUGCCAGCAGCCGCGGUAAUACGAAGGUGGCAAGCGUUACUCGGAAUUACUAGGCGUAAAGCGCAGGUAGGUGGUUGUGUAAGUCUGCUGUGAAAGCUCCCGGCUUAACUGGGAGAGGUCAGCGGAUACUGCAUAGCUAGAGUGUGGGAGAGGGUACUGGAAUUCCCGGUGUAGCGGUGAAAUGCGCAGAUAUCGGGAGGAACACCUAAGGCGAAAGCAGGUACCUGGACCAUUACUGACACUAAGCUGCGAAAGCUAGGGGAGCAAACAGGAUUAGAUACCCUUNUANUC